UCCCUGCCGUUUGGAGUGCUCUGCCUCUGCCUCAUGCAAAAAGCAGGUCAUCCUCAAAACUCCAAAAGUAAAAUACCCAUUCGAAAAAUUGAAAUUCCAAAAUCUUUCUAACUUCAAAGAAAUUUCAUCAAAUGGUGAAAGCAUGAAUAUCCAAAUCUUGCUAGGAUUUAAGACGCAUCAUCGUCGUUGAGGCUAGGAUUUUCGGUGGGUACUGGGUUUGAGGGCUUUUCUGAUAGUCGAUCAUCCCGCUCUACAUCCGGUCGUUUGUGUAAGAUUUUCUAGGAGUAUGAGAAUAAGUUUGGUGGGUAUGAAUAUGAAAGUUUUGAUCACUACGAGUAGUGGGUAGGCCAUAAAUGAUGGGUUCGAGGGUUUAAAUUUCUCAUAUCCGCCUACCCCACUCCAUAUCCGUCUAAGAUUUGUCCGGACGGCUUAAAUUAACGCUUAGAAUUAGAAACGCAGUGAAUCGAUUUGUUAAAAAUGGAGAACGAACAUUUAAACCCUAAGUUUUGAAAAACUAAAUAAAAAUACGAAAUUUCAUCAAUGAAGUCUAAGAUAUGAAAAUUUGUACCCUGAAAAUGGAAAAUCUGUAACUUCGCAAGAAUGAAAGCUAGAAAUAAAAACGGGUCGGGUCGGAUUGGGCUGGGUUUUAAAGCCCAGUCCAUUUUCAACCCAUUUUCAUUUUACAAGGCCCAAUGCAACCCAGGUCCAUCUUUGUUUGAACCCGAUCCGGCCCUUAUCAAGCCCUUUGAACACCUCUUAUUUGGACCUUGGCGUCAUUGUAUAUGUAUUCCAUGAGUUAGUGAGUUCAUUCUUUCAAACUAGUCGAGUCGUUUUUAGAUUGGGUUGAAUGCCCAACUUGUGUUGAUUGAAGUAGAAGAUCCUCACUUUUGGAAAUAUGACUUUAAUUUUGUGUUGGAUUUUUGUAUUGUAAGCUGGCACAAGCUCUUCGAAAUUUCCUCAUCGCGACUUGUCUACUAGCUUGAGAUUCAUUUUGAAAGAUUAAAUGCCCCUCUACAGAAAGAUGCACAAAAUGGUGUAUCUUUAACCUUCGCAAUAUUCGUGUUAUUGUUGGCUAAAGAAUCCACUCUAUCUCAUUUACGUGUAUGAUUGCGUGUUAUAGACACCAAGCUAUAUUUGAUUGUUGUGCUUCAUCUUGAACUGAUAAUGUCGUGUGCGGAGUCUACUAAUUAUCUGAUCCAAUAUUGAAUAUGAUUUAAAGUCGAGUUGUUUCUUGGGUCACUUUAGGGAUAGUUGCUGCUUUGAUGCCAUAUGUUGGUGGAGAAAGUGGUUAACUUUGAUACAGAAGAUCCUCAUCCCAGAAAUAGCUUAAUUUUGUGUGAGAACUUGGAUGCUUUUCUUCUAAAAUAUCAUAGACCCCCUAAAAAUUUCAAGUAUUGUUUGGACAGAGGCCGCGCGUACGCAGGCCCCCACUAUCACAAAUUAUGACGUAGACUCUCCCAUUUGGGGAGAUCUUAGGCUGCUGCUCCUCCUUAAAGUGCAAUGGAAGUCAACAACCUAGGCCAUAAGCCUAUUUGAUCACUUAUAGACCCCAUCCAGAGGGAGAUGCACAAAAAAAGGUUCAUCCUCGUUUAUGUACAUGAUCAUGGGUUGUAGAUAGACUCCAAGCAACAACUGAGCGUUGUUCUUCAUCUUGAACUGAUGUUGUGCGACGUUUCUUCUCAGUACUGUAAACAGCUCCAACAGUUUAAAAGCUGAACAAUACCAAUUGUUGGAUGCUUCAGAGGCUGAAUAUUUUUUAAAAAGGCAAGAGUUUUGGAUACUGGAAGAUGUGAAGCUGAACGAGAAACCAGAAGGCGUGUGACAUUGAGACCUUCUGAGGAGAUCAGGAGAAUAUUGAGAGAGCAGAUGAGUAUACUUUAUGCUGAUACUGUACGUGUAAAAGUGAUACCACCAUACCAGAAGAAAGGAACCGAUUUCUGCAAUGUAAAACAGAAACAUUAGAGGCCGCGCGAACGCAGGCCCCCACUACCACAAAUUAUGACGUAGACUCUCCCAUUUGAGGAGAUCUUAGGCUGCUGCCCCUCCUUAAAGUGCAAUGGAAGUCAACAACCUAGGCCAUAAGCCUAUUUGAUCACUUAUAGACCCCGUCCAGAGAGGAGAUGCACAAAAAAGGUUGAUCCUCGUUUAUGUACAUGAUCAUGGGUUGUAGAUAGACUCCAAGCAACAUUUGAGCGUUGGGCUUCAUCUUGAACUGAUGUUGUGCGACAUUUCUUCUCAGUACUGUAAACAGCUCCAACAGUUUAAAAGCUGAACAAUACCAAUUCUUGGAUGCUUCAGAUGCUGAAUAUUUUUUAAAAAGGCAAGAGUUUUGGAUACUGGAGCGGUGAGUAUUUCUGCUAAUUUUGUUCCUGAUCUUGAAAUAUUGAUAUUGGAUAACAUCUUGCCACAUAGGGCCAAUUUAAACUGUAAACAGCUCCAACAAGGAAAUUUCUUGGAUGCCUCAAAAUCUGAAUAGCUUCAGAGAAGUAUUUUGUGCAGUCCUGUUUGUGUUUGAAGUGGGGUUAGCUCUUCCAUCUCUAAUAUAGCCUUAAGCAGUAACGGAGUUCCAGAAGUUCUUUUUACAUUGUAUUAUUUCUCGUUUUUCGGGAUUACGUACGCUCCUCCGUCCUAGACUUCGUGAAAGGAUGAUUAUUAAUGAGGCAUGACGUUUUGGAUUUAGGCGAGAUGCAAUAGUUUAUCUUUUGAGGUAAAGGAGGUGUUAUGAAUAUAGCAUUGCCGGUCCAAUCAAUGAGGUGAUUCCCGUUUCUGACCUAGUCACUCAGAAGCUUCCUUGAUUGUGUAUGAAGUACCUGUUCAUGUUACAAAGCCCAAUUUAUCAAUCUUUAUCCUCAUAUGCGACAUAGCGCCUUUUUGUUCUCAUUUCUCAACCUUCUUUGUUUCAAGGCUUCCAACUUCUUCUGAUGUUUUGAUCCUGCCUUAUGUUCUCAUCCUGAACGAACAUGAAGUGUGGAGUCUACUUGCUAUUAGGAUUUAAUGUGUUUUCUUAUCCCAAACCAUAUGUGAAACAGUGAUCUGAGUGCAAGCAAACAAAUAAAAAGAGAUUUAUGAAUGCUUUGAUACUCAUACCUUUCUCGGCCUUUUGGCUAAGAUCAAGUGUAGUAUCUGUUCUUAUCAGUUUAAUAUCUGAUACGUGGGUCAUUGACCCACAAUGAUAUUAAAUUUAUUUUUUAAGGGGGAAGGUCCACCACAGUAGCUUGCUAUUGGGGCCUUCAGGUGUCGCCCAUGUGUUGCACUACUGCAAGGGCCUGGCACGCCCCUCCGAACUAUUCUAAAUAUUUAAUUUUAACAUCAGAUUGGAAUCUUUAACAUCACUAUUAUUGCUUUAUAUUGGGGCCUCUAGGUGUUGCAUAUGUCCUUGCACUGUGCAAGGGCGCCCCAUACAAAUCAUUCAUUAAAUUACCUGGUUCAUGACUGACACAUAUCUGUUGAAUCAUUUAGUGAGAUAUAUUUAAAAAUUGGUAUGCUUAUUGGCCUAAGCUGUAAUGUAGCUUCAUAAUAAGGUGCUUGUCAUGUGCAAUGAUAAACAGAUCUUUAAAAUUGGUAUGCUUAUUGAACUGCACAUAAUCUCUUGUCAUGUAGCUUCAUAAUAAGCUGUA